rnacentral:rRNA from 1 species
CCUACGGGAGGCAGCAGUGGGGAAUAUUGCACAAUGGGGGAAACCCUGAUGCAGCAACGCCGCGUGAAGGAAGAUGGUUUUCGGAUUGUAAACUUCUGUUCUUAGUGAAGCAGAAUGACGGUAGCUAAGGAGCAAGCCACGGCUAACUACGUGCCAGCAGCCGCGGUAAUACGUAGGUGGCAAGCGUUGUCCGGAAUUACUGGGUGUAAAGGGAGCGCAGGCGGGAAGCCAAGUCAGCUGUGAAAACUACGGGCUUAACUUGUAGACUGCAGUUGAAACUGGUUUUCUUGAGUGAAGUAGAGGUUGGCGGAAUUCCGAGUGUAGCGGUGAAAUGCGUAGAUAUUCGGAGGAACACCAGUGGCGAAGGCGGCUUGCUGGACAGUAACUGACGUUGAGGCUCGAAAGCGUGGGGAGCAAACAGGAUUAGAUACCCUGGUAGUC